UUUUAGCUUAUCUCCCACCGUCCGAUUCAAUCGACGGCUAUAAACAAUUAGGGUUUAUUGGGAACGUUCUAUAACGUCAAACGCAGCUCCGCCUCAAACCUAAAAAGAAUCAGGUCGCGAUGAAGCCGUUCAACACCGUUUUCGACUCCGAGUCCCUCAUCGGUGACGCCGCGAAGAAUCAGGUCGCGAUGAACCCGAUCAACACCGUUUUUGAGUGGAUGUAUGAUGUCGUUCGCACGAGUUUUCUUGCCAUGCUACGACAUUGGUCUUAGCAUGGCAAGAAACCUCUUUCUGUUUGAUGAUAGAGAAUGCAUCCAUGUUGUUUCCAGAUGUUAAGAGUUCUGUUCAACACCGUUUUCGGUAUGAAUUUUUGGGAAAUCCAUGAUGUUGUUUGCCGGACCUGCUGAGAAAUCCAUGACCUGUGUUAACUACAAGGUCGCAAUGAAGCCGUUCAACACCGUUUUCGACUCCGAGCCCCUCAUCGGUGACGCCGCGAAGAAUCAAGUCGCGAUGAACCCGAUCAACACCGUUUUUGUACGAUAUUCGACAAUGCUAUUUCUGUUGAUUAUGCUUUCCGUGAUGAUGGUGAAAAGGGCAGCAGAGAGGGUAGAAAUGAUGCUUCCUUGUGGUCAUCCAGUCCGUGAAAUGGAAUGUGUAUAUAGAGGCAUUGUGUUAGUGUCUUUUUUUCUUAUCUUUUGUUUGUAUUUAAUCUUUGAUAAAAAUAAGUCAAGUGUGUAUCUUUCAGUCCUCAUCUAGACCUGCUCAUCCUUUCCCUUGUACAAUAGGUUACCCGAGCCAAGCCUACGACCAUGAUGAGAAGUAGUAAGCAGUUACAAUCGAAAUGGAUGAAGGGUACACACUUCAGUAGUGUCGAGUAAAUAGAGUUUUGAUGUUUUCUUGUUUCAGGCAAUCUUGAUUUUUUUUUCCAGAACAAAUGUGUCUUCCUUUUGUUUGUGGGAACUUAAUACAUUCAAGAGUCCAUAUCUUUUUCA